rnacentral:rRNA from 1 species
GUAGGUGGCAAGCGUUGUCCGGAAUUAUUGGGCGUAAAGCGCGCGCAGGCGGUUCUUUAAGUCUGAUGUGAAAGCCCACGGCUCAACCGUGGAGGGUCAUUGGAAACUGGAGAACUUGAGUACAGAAGAGGAAAGCGGAACUCCACGUGUAGCGGUGAAAUGCGUAGAGAUGUGGAGGAACACCAGUGGCGAAGGCGGCUUUCUGGUCUGUAACUGACGCUGAGGCGCGAAAGCGUGGGGGAGCAAACAGGAUUAGACACCCUGGUAGUCCACGCCGUAAACGAUGAGUGCUAAGUGUUAGGGGGUUUCCGCCCCUUAGUGCUGCAGCUAACGCAUUAAGCACUCCGCCUGGGAGUACGGCCGCAAGGCUG